rnacentral:rRNA from 2 species
GAUGUGAAAGCCCACGGCUCAACCGUGGAGGGUCAUUGGAAACUGGAAAACUUGAGUGCAGAAGAGGAAAGUGGAAUUCCAUGUGUAGCGGUGAAAUGCGCAGAGAUAUGGAGGAACACCAGUGGCGAAGGCGACUUUCUGGUCUGUAACUGACGCUGAUGUGCGAAAGCGUGGGGAUCAAACAGGAUUAGAUACCCUGGUAGUCCACGCCGUAAACGAUGAGUGCUAAGUGUUAGGGGGUUUCCGCCCCUUAGUGCUGCAGCUAACGCAUUAAGCACUCCGCCUGGGGAGUACGACCGCAAGGUUGAAACUCGAAGGAAUUGACGGGGACCCGCACAAGCGGUGGAGCAUGUGGUUUAAUUCCAAGCAACGCGAAGAACCUUACCAAAUCUUGACAUCCUUUGACCCUUCUAGAGAUACAAUUUUCCCCUUCGGGGG